rnacentral:rRNA from 1 species
GGCUUAAGAUUGUUUUACGAGUGCGGUGCUCUUAGGGCGAUUGAAUUUAGCGGCCGCGAAUUCGCCCUUAGAGUUUGAUCCUGGCUGAGGAUGAACGCUAGCGGCAGGCCUAACACAUGCAAGUCGAACGGCAGCGGGAAGGAGCUUGCUCCUUUGCCGGCGAGUGGCGCACGGGUGCGUAACGCGUAUACAACCUACCUUAUACAGGGGUAUAGCCCAGGGAAACUUGGAUUAACACCCCAUAGUAAUAUGUUUUGGCAUCAUUACAUAUUUAAAACUACGGUGGUAUAAGAUGGGUAUGCGUCCCAUUAGCUUGUUGGUGUGGUAACGGCACACCAAGGCAACGAUGGGUAGGGGCCCUGAGAGGGGGAUCCCCCACACUGGUACUGAGACACGGACCAGACUCCUACGGGAGGCAGCAGUGAGGAAUAUUGGACAAUGGGCGGGAGCCUGAUCCAGCCAUGCCGCGUGCAGGAAGACUGCCCUAUGGGUUGUAAACUGCUUUUAUACGGGAAGAAACCCACCUACGUGUAGGUGGCUGACGGUACCGUAAGAAUAAGGACCGGCUAACUCCGUGCCAGCAGCCGCGGUAAUACGGAGGGUCCGAGCGUUAUCCGGAAUCAUUGGGUUUAAAGGGUCCGCAGGCGGCCAGAUAAGUCAGUGGUGAAAUUCCGUGGCUCAACCACGGAACUGCCAUUGAUACUGUUUGGCUUGAAUCAGUCCGAGGAUGCCGGAAUGUGUGGUGUAGCGGUGAAAUGCAUAGAUAUCACACAGAACACCAAUUGCGAAGCAGGUGUCCAGAACUGUAUUGACGCUGAUGGACGAAAGCGUGGGUAGCGAACAGGAUUAGAUACCCUGGUAGUCCACGCCGUAAACGAUGGUCACUAGCUGUCCGGACUUAGUCUGGGUGGCCAAGCGAAAGUGAUAAGUGACCCACCUGGGGAGUACGUUCGCAGAUGAACUCAAAGGAAUUGACGGGGCCCGCACAGCGUGAGCAUGUGUUUAAUUCGAUGAUACGCGAGGAUCUUACCAUGGCUAGUGCAUUAUGACAGGGUGGAGACACCCUUUUCUUCGACAUUUUGCAGUGCUGCAUGGUUGUCGUCAGCUCGUGCCGUGAGGUGUCAGUUAAGUCCUAUACGAGCGCCAACCCUGUUUGUAAUUGCCCGCGAGUUAUGGUCGGGACUCUAACAAACUUGCGGGGCAACCGCCCAGAAAAUGAUUAAACUCAAAAAACUCGUCUUAUCCUGGUCUACAUGCUUUAAUGGCAGAAGCAAGCCCACCUGUUGAACACCGAAGCGAAACUGUUUUAAC